ensembl:lncRNA UBL7-DT UBL7 divergent transcript
GCUAGUUGCAAAGCUUCCGGUUCUGGGGGAAGGCGUGGCUUCCGCGCUCUUUGAAAUGUCCGGCGCCGGAAUGUCUGGGUGCUUUGGUUGGAGAGGGUCCCAUUUCCAGUCAUUCUUCAGCCUGGUGAUUCCCGCGCUCCCCUGAGGAGCAUAUGAAGUACGUCGGUUCUGCCAGGUUGGAACGCGCUGCUGGACACUCGGCCGUAAGGCGGAUCCCGGAUCCCCUCCCACUCCGACCCUUCCCUCCAGAAGGGCCGGUUCCCAAACGGCCCCUUUAGACACAUCCAAGCGGUUGCCGACGGCCCUCACGAUGAAAACUGCUGUCCGUUGGUGAAGGCAGCCUCUUCUGUGCUCCUCGCCGCUGACUUCCUGAGGCGGACCUACCUGUGGAGGCAUACCAGGAACCAGACGAUGACCCCCUCCAAAAGUUGGGUCUUUGAGGAGAGCUACUAACUUGGGUUCCUGGUACACCCUCUACAUGCAGUGGUGAAGCUUAUCUAACAGUCAUUCAUAGAAUCAGUUUGGGAAGGGGAAUUUUCACUGAACUCUCAUAGAGAAACUGUGUUUUAGAUAACAGAAAGUUCUGCACGGUUAAAAUGGAACAGAAAUUUUUUUGCACAGAAAUUAGGAUUACCGAAAAUACUGAAGAAAGACUACCUCUGAUUGGACUCUUCUCAAGGAAUUAAUAAUUCAAGAACUAAGGAAAGAAAAAAGUGAUUAUAUGAAAAUACUGAAGUUGAUCGUAGCAGCUGAAGGCUGAUCCUGUGUGGGUAAAUGUAAACGCUGAAUUCCCACAUUCCAAUGUGCGACCUGGGAUUAAGGCAGCAAUUGAGCAGGAAUGUCACAUAAAUGGAAUCAUACUGUGUCCGGAAUUGGUGGGUUCUUGGUCUCACUGACUUCAAGAAUGACGCCAUGGGCCCUCGCGGUGAGUGUUACAGCUCUUAAGGUGGCGCGUCUGGAGUUUGUUCCUUCUGAUGUUCGGAUGUGUUCGGAGUUUCUUCCUUCUGGUGGGUUCGUGGUCUCGCUGGCUCAGGAGUGAAGCUGCAGACUUUCGCGAUUUCAUCUCUCUCUCUGCUAUGGACACAGAUGGCUUCACUCCAUCCUGUAUUCUUCGGACCAUGAUAAAAUUCCAGACUCUCGGUAGUUUUUGCGUUCCAAGAAGUAGAGCCUAGAGUGGUGGCCUAUAAUUACAGUUACUCAGGAGGCUGAGGCAGGAGGAUCCUUUGAGUCCAGCAGUUUGAGGCCAGCCUGGACACCACAGCAAGACCACCAAUAAAUAAAUAAAUAAAUGGAACAUGUU